CUUAGCAGCAUGCAAAGGGCUCUAGUACUAUUUCCCGGAUUGCGUCCUUUGCUUCGACCCUGCUUGUCUCUGACCCAUCCUUGUCGUACCUGCACUGGUAACCUGAAAAACCGUUGAACUGUUCCAACGCUAGUCUCGGUCUGUGCUGUUCUUGGGUCCAGUCUCUUGGGCCAGAGACAGUUUUUUUAAAUCGGAUAGCCCUGAGUCGCGGCUGCAUCCUGGCCGCUCGGCAGGGCGGAGGUCAGCCUUCCACGCCCCGCCAAGACACCAUAUCUGCGCCCGACAGCCGGCACACCGGACACGGGGAGAGGCUAGCUGUGGCCCGCGGAGGGGCGAGGCGACAGAAUGGGCCGAAGGCAAGGACAAUAAGAAACGAGAGGCGGGGUUUUGACGUGGAGGCUGAUGGGAAGGGGGCCAAUCUCAUUGGUCACUCAUCAUAUGCGCCAAGUGCAUUUACCUGCCUGACUAAG
ensembl:lncRNA